rnacentral:misc_RNA from 1 species
GAUGAAGAACGUAGCGAAAUGCGAUAAGUAGUGUGAAUUGCAGAAUUCAGUGAAUCAUCGAAUCUUUGAACGCACAUUGCGCCCCUCGGUAUUCCGUGGGGCACGCCUGUUCGAGCGUCAUUUACACCCUCAAGCGCAGCUUGGUGUUGGGCGUCUGUCCCGCUCUCCGUAGCGCGGACUCGCCUCAAAGUCAUUGGCGGCGGUCGUACCGGCUCCUCGCGCAGCACAUUUGCGCUUCUCGGAGGCCCGGCGGAUCGGCAUCCAGCAAGCUACUUUUUAUGACUUGACCUCGGAUCAGGUGAGGAUACCCGCUGAACUUAAGCAUAUCAAUAAGCGGAGGA